rnacentral:rRNA from 1 species
CAAGACUGCGAAGUGGAGCAAAUCCCUAAAAGCCAUCUCAGUUCGGAUUGCAGGCUGCAACUCGCCUGCAUGAAGCUGGAAUUGCUAGUAAUCGCGGAUCAGCAAGCCGCGGUGAAUACGUUCCCGGGCCUUGUACACACCGCCCGUCACACCAUGAGAGUCGGGAACACCCGAAGUCCGUAGUCCAACCUCGUGAGGACGCUGCCGAAGGUAGGAUUGGCGACUGGGGUGAAGUCGUAACAAGGUAAC